UGGGUACCGGGGUGAACCGCCAUGUUUUAUCUAUGGUUAUGGAGAAAUUGAAGACUGGGUUCAUGUUAAAUUUAGGCUCAUCUGCUGCAACACUUUUUGAAGGGGAGAAAGACCAUCGUGUCCCCACAGCUUCUGCUGUAGUCCGUGACAGCAAUCUUUUCCAGAUGGCAGGUCGAAUGAUCGGCCAUUCUUUUAUUCAUGGCGGGCCUUGUCUUUCUGGAUUAAGUGUGCCUGUUGUUAUCCUUUUAACUGGUGGAACUAUCGACAGCGCUGCAUCAGCUUUAACUCUGCAGGACUGUCCUGAUUUGGAUCACAGAGAAACUAUUAGUUUGCUCAAUAAAGCAAAACUUCACGAAGCAGAACACACACGACUAACUGAUUUGUGUUUGUUCUGGGACCUUCCGAUCCCAUCUUCUACAAACAAGGAGUGGCUGUUCCAGCAACUGCUGACACAUGCUGUAACAAAACUGUGUUUUUACCUUCAUUUACUAAUUGAUCUGAUGUAGUGAUUACAUUUCAGCAGUGUGUAUGAUAGGGAUGGUUCACUUUAAAAUGAAAAUUCUGUCAUCAUU